UACGGAGGGUGCAAGCGUUAAUCGGAAUUACUGGGCGUAAAGCGUGCGUAGGCGGUUCGUUAAGUCUGUUGUGAAAGCCCCGGGCUCAACCUGGGAAUGGCAAUUGGAUACUGGCGAGCUAGAGUGUGUCAGAGGAUGGUGGAAUUCCCGGUGUAGCGGUGAAAUGCGUAGAGAUCGGGAGGAACAUCAGUGGCGAAGGCGGCCAUCUGGGACAACACUGACGCUGAGGCACGAAAGCGUGGGGAGCAAACAGG
rnacentral:rRNA from 1 species